CUACGGGACGCAGCAGUCAAGAAUCUUCCGCAAUGCACGAAAGUGUGACGGAGCGACGCCGCGUGCAGGACGAAGGCCUUCGGGUCGUAAACUGCUUUUAUUAGGGACGAACAAAUGACGGUACCUAAAGAAUAAGGGGUUGCUAACUCUGUGCCAGCAGCAGCGGUAAUACAGAGACCUCAAACGUUGUCCGGAUUUAUUGGGCGUAAAGGGUCCGCAGGCGGUUUUAUAAGUCAUAUGUCAAAUCUUCAGGCUCAACCUGGAGGCUGCGUGUGAUACUGUAAGACUAGAGGAUGGGAGAGGUGCACGGAAUUGCUGGUGUAGCGGUAAAAUGCGUUAAUAUCAGCAAGAACACCAAAGGCGAAGGCAGUGCACUGGAACAUUCCUGACGCUCAGGGACGAAAGCGUGGGUAGCGAAUGGGAUUAGAUACCCCUGUAGUC
rnacentral:rRNA from 1 species